CCUACGGGGGGCUGCAGUGAGGAAUAUUGGUCAAUGGACGAGAGUCUGAACCAGCCAAGUAGCGUGAAGGAUGACUGCCCUAUGGGUUGUAAACUUCUUUUAUAAAGGAAUAAAACGAGGCACGUGUGCCUUUUUGCAUGUACUUUAUGAAUAAGGAUCGGCUAACUCCGUGCCAGCAGCCGCGGUAAUACGGAGGAUCCGAGCGUUAUCCGGAUUUAUUGGGUUUAAAGGGAGCGUAGUUGGGUUGUUAAGUCAGUUGUGAAAGUAUGCGGCUCAACCGUAAAAUUGCAAUUGAUACUGGCAGUCUUGAGUACAGUUGAGGUAGGCGGAAUGCGUGGUGUAGCGGUGAAAUGCAUAGAUAUCACGAAGAACCCCGAUUGCGAAGGCAGCUUACUAAACUGUGACUGACAUUGAUGCUCGAAAGUGUGGGUAGCAAACAGGAUUAGAUACCCGUGUAGUC
rnacentral:rRNA from 1 species